rnacentral:lncRNA from 1 species
CAUCAAGUCACUUGAAACACUGACGCCUCAGUAACCAGAUUCAUCGGCUUCUUGAGGUUCUGCAUACGCUGUCGAACGCCAAUCCACUUAUUAUGCUGUUUCGGAUGUAAGAUCUCUCUUAUAAAAUUACGGCUGUUUAUCCAAACUUGACAGGUAUCAUACUCUCUCAGGCUACUUCUAAAAAAUUUGGGUGUAUAGUGGCUUUUAAAGGAGCUUUGCAUGGUAAUGUCUUUGUAGUUUUGGCCAUCAUUAGCAUUGAUUAUUUCACCAAACUCCUGAAAAAGACACGUGCAAAAGGAGGAACAUACAGACUUCAAACAAGCCCUAAAAUCAGCAGACAAGACGGGGACACCGAUCCAAAACCAUCUUUUAAAAGAUUCAAAUCUAUAACAUUAUUAAUGGAUAGAGUUCAAUAAGGCAGAUCAGAUAUUUUCCAUUUAUAAUAACAUCACCUGAGAUAUGAAACUGAUGAGAAUCCCUGAGAGUAAUCAGACUGUUCAGCACUUAUAUCUGCAGUCAACAAGCUGCAGAUCAUCUGGAUGGAAAUUUAUGGCUUGUGACACAUUUAUUGAUGGAUUGCUUAAGUCUCAAACUGCAAUACUUGUCUAGAAAUGUGACAUUUAUCAAAACCAGGCAAUAUGCGCGUUGCUCUCAUUUUUGUUAUACGCUUAAACAGUGAUUUUAUUCUAGUGUUAACACGGUUCAGAUUAUCUCUUUUAAUGCCAAUGUGUUUAAAAUCUACUUAUAUUUCUUUACGCUUGACUCUCUUUUUAGACAUUUCUCAAAGAUCAGGGGCGAGUCCAGACUUUUUUGACAGGAACUGACUCAUGCAGGGGUGAAAAAAAAGUGGAUAAAUAGCAUCUAUUUACCUUUUCUGACUCCUUUCUGACAGAUUAUUGGAACCAUUAAAUGAAAGAAGAUAGAUCUGAGAACAAACCUGCAAUUUUACUUGAUAAAUUUGCAAAUUAACAAGAAAAAAAGUUGUAAAGAUUGUAGGAUAAAGUCAAAAUUUUGGCCGAAACGCUUAUUUUGAAGUUAAACCGAGUAUCCGCCUGUGUUUCUUAAGUUAUUCUUCAUGUUUCAUAACCUGAAUCCUCAAUCUUUUGGCCACUUUAUCGUUAGAGUCCAGAUUUCAGACUGUUUAGCGGGCUAAAAGUCGAAUUGCGUGUUUGGUGUUGAGUUCCAUUUUGCAAGGUUGAUGGAUGUUCUUCAGUUUAGUGCAGCUGACCCCUCUGCACCACUAAUAUUGCAUUAUUUCUCAUAAAAUUACAGCUUCAUUCUUGUAAACUAAAUAAGUUUAUUGGCGUACAUUUAAUGAAUUUAGGAAUCUAUUCUAGUGAAUCGACAACUUUAUUUACACAUGAUGUUAUUUUUUGAAAAGUUUUGACUUCAUUCUCAGGAUAUUAUGAUUACAUCUACUAUUUUCUUCUUUAACCCGUUAAUGCCUCUUGUAUCAUAUUUGAUAUAUACUUUUAUAAACUUCUAUCAAAUCAAUACGAUCAACAAAUUACUAAAAAGAAACACCUGAAAACAGUCCGAUAAAUGAUAAAAAUGUCCUCUUGUGGUUUAUCAGUUUCCAAAAACAUCUAAUGUAUCAAACAAGAUAAAUAAAUAUAUUUGUUAAAUUUUAAGGACAUUUUGACUUUUUUGGUUUUCAUUAAAAAGUGAAAUAAACAUUUCAUUUCAGUGGUUUCAGGCACUAAAGGGCUACAAACUGAACCCUCUAAUGUUAAUAUUCACCCAAACUAACAUAAAAGAAUCUGUACAGACAGAAACUGUAUUUCUGACUCGUCGUCUGAUUCCUUUUCUGCAGUUCUCUUAUGUAACAGAUGAGUAAAGACUUUUUAGCUCAAUUAAUAUUUACUUUUUUCGUCAUAGUGGAAAUAGUGAGGCACCUGUGGGGCCUAAGCCACCUCUGACAAGUCUUAUAGGCGCACCCCUGUACGAGAAACUAGGAAAAACAGCUCCAGAAAUACGACCGAAAGUGCAAUAAAAGAGACUUAUCUUCUAAAGAGAAAUCCAAAUAAGAAUCAGAUGAAGUACUAAAGUGAGUUAAAGCCGAGCUAUCUGCCAAGUUCGCUAACGUGGACGUGUUAGCACUUCCACGUGGAGCUCUGCUGAGGUCAGUCUCUCUGAGCCCUUUAAGAGCACACAGGGCCUUCACCCCCGCCCGCUCCACAGCUGCUUUUAGUCAGGGCCCGAGGUCUCUCCAUCCUCCCCCCCCCGCCUCUCCCCCAUCCCCUUCAUCCCUCCUGCCCCUCAGCCUUCUGUUCUCUUGCCAGGACUGUAAUCAAGCCUUCAGCUUGUGGCCAGCGCCUAAACCCUCCUCACUCACCCCCCCCUUCCCCUCCUAACCCCGAAAAAAGCCACCAACAGACUAAACUAUGAGAGAAAUGAGGGGCAGAGACAGAAGGAAGCAAGUCGGGGUGUGAGAGAUACUCAUUAAAUCUUCACCCUGUAUGCUGACAGAACACAGGCGUAAUGUUUUAAAUACAGGGAUCUCUGCAGUUUGUUGGGGAAAACAUUAUUGCUGAAAGUUCUGGCACCGUUAAAGAUGGCAGAGCAGGAACAGUACAUGAGAGAGGGAGCGCUAAUCGAAAACAUGUGCACCUCAAAUUCCUCUCAUAGCGGCGUCUGAUUAAGGCCUUUGUCAGGGCGUUCGUUGGUGGCGAAGAUUACGGAUACUGUGCACAUCUUUUAGAGGUAUUAGGCUCCACCUUUUCGGUCUGACUGUACCUGCUUUUGUCUGCUUUCUACCUUAUCCAGUGUCAUCUUCCACGGCCAGAGGGGACGUCUCACCCUGCGCGGACAUGUCCAAACAAACCCCCUCAACACGACUCCCUCUCCGAUGACAUGAAAGCAACGGCAGCCCAUUAUUGUGGACAGGCUUUUGGCUUUCUCAAGGAUGUCACGUUGUCAGGGCUGCACUCAAGGCCUGGUCCAGGUACAUUCCACCAAGGCCACUGAAAAACAUUGUUCAAGAUCAUUACUCUGAUAUGCGGGGCCAUAAGCCACUCUUUUGCAUGAAGAAAACCGUGCAUCAUAAGCCUUAUGAGUAAUAUGAUAAUGACGCUACCAGAUCUGAUGGGAAAGACGCUUUAUUUUCCGUAAAAGGUUGUGGAAAAGUAAAUUCCAGCAUGG